UGAACAGAACAUACUGAUACUCGCAGUGACAGGAUGCCGUCUCCCUCUGUGUCCUGUAUACCAGAGGUGGGAGUAAGUCAUACAUGUGCAAGUCUCAAGUUACUGGGGUGAGAGUCAAACAAGUCAAAUCCUACGAAAUCCUGAUGAAUAAACCCAGUUUCCGCAGUUAACAGACAGUGGUUAUGAAAACUAGAGUUUUAUUUUCAAC